CGUCGUGAGACAGUUCGGUCCCUAUCCGUCGUGGGCGUAGGAAAUUUGAGAGGAGCUGUCCUUAGUACGAGAGGACCGGGAUGGACAUACCUCUGGUGUACCAGUUGUCGUGCCAACGGCAUAGCUGGGUAGCUAUGUGUGGACGGGAUAAGUGCUGAAAGCAUCUAAGCAUGAAGCCCCCCUCAAGAUGAGAUUUCCCAACUUCGGUUAUAAGAUCCCUCAAAGAUGAUGAGGUUAAUAGGUUCGAGGUGGAAGCAUGGUGACAUGUGGAGCUGACGAAUACUAAUCGAUCGAAGACUUAAUCAAAA
rnacentral:rRNA from 1 species